CCGUCUGGCCUGGGAACCGGUUUGCGGUGGGACGCGGUUGACGUCGACGCGGUCCGCCGUGGGAUCCGGUCUGGCGCAGGCCGUACGUACGAGACCGGGCCCCGUGCGGUGCCGGCGCUUUCCAGACCCGGUCCGGCCCGAGGGAGAGACGCGCUCACGCUCACGUGAAAAGCUCGCGAACGCAAGCACCGCGCCGCCGGGAUCCUGAGAGGGACUCAGCACCUCGGGAGGCGGCGACAGAGCCUCGAGCCUCGGGGUCCACAGUCGGGCAGCUGAGAGAGUCAUUACUGUGAUCUGUGGGACAUUCUCUACAUGAGCUGGUAUUUCUCUUCCUUCUCCUCAGUCUCUAAGGUGGAGAAACGGAUUUUUCUGAGGAUGUUGGAAAGGGUUGCAGAAGAAAAGUUUAAGGAUGAGUUGAUUUCCCAGGAUAAGAAAACCUGAGUUGCUCCCUGGAACAUUAUUUCAUGAUUUAUGGUCCUCCAUGAAUGGAAUGGUGCCCACCCCACGCUGCUGAGGGUGAAUCAUCUUCACCCAGUCUGCUGCAUCAAAUGCUGAUCUCUUCCAGAAACACCCUCCCAGAUCAUUAAUGAAGCCAUUGAAAAGUCAGAACCAGUAGAAGGGCCCUGUGGACUGAGUACUAGG